UUUGCCGUAUACCAUUAUCACCUCCGCUCUCAUCUGUUUCCAUUUCACUAACCUAAAGAAAUUGAAAUAAAAAAUGAACAUGUUAUAUUUUCCACUAUCUCUUAAUCAAACUUAAAGCAUGAAAAAUAUUAAUAAAAUCUGUUGUCCAAAGCUUUAUUAAUUUUACCUUCUUCAAUAUACAGUAGUCACACCGAUGAGAUGAUAUUCUACAACCAGUCUUCGAGGACAUUCAUGAAUGGCAAAAUAAUUUAAAUAUUUAGAUUUGUAAGAUUAUAUAAAUUAAAAGUGUUUGGUUAAUAUAAAAUACAACCAUUAAAGUGGGCUCCAUAAAUAAAGAAUGUGAGGCCUCCAAGAGAGCUGCGUCGGAGUGGAUCGAAACCAGCAGAUUAUUUGAAUUGGGACAUUGGCAUUAGUUCAGGGUUGAAAAUGAAGCUAGAAACUUUUAGGGGUUUAAUUUGAGAGUGUGAUAAUAGGUUGGUUGUAGUUAACCCUCAAAACUGUUUGCCUUCGGUUUUUGGUUAACAGCACAUUCUCCAUAAUCUAAAAACUUGGAAAGUAGUACGGAUCAUACUAGAGGGAAAUGAAAUGUAUCUGCCAGCCUAGGUUGGUUUUUAGUACGGAUUCUGUGUUUCAACGGCCAGUUAUGUACCGCAAAUAUUCAUCUUCCGGCCAUCUUACUUGACAUACUACUAAUUAAAUAAA
rnacentral:lncRNA from 1 species